CUGAUGUGAAAAGUGACGAACCCUAACCUGGCACAUCAAUGAAAUUCAAAAUUAGGUUAUGGGUUGUCAAGACUAUUAAAGCAAGCAGAGCUCUUAAGAUUGAGGAUCCUUAGAGUUGGUCACAAGAAAAUUGUUGGUGUCAUGAAGGAAGGAAGAACGCCAACGUUAAAAAUCAACACCCACUGAUGGGUGUUUGGGCUUUACCGGGUCAAGCUAAUGACGUUAAAGAAGCCCUUGUUGGGAGGCAACCUAAUUUCUAACCUAGUUUCUUAAUUGUUUUUUCUUGUAUUUUGUUUUGAUUUUAUUUUAUUCGAUUUUAUUCGAUUUUAUUUGAUUUUAUUUUUUAUUUAUUUAUUUUUUGGUUAUGCGCUGCUUCUGAUGGCAGUAAUGAUAGCAUCUACUGAGGGAUGCUAAAAGAAUUAGGUAUCUACUGAAGGAUACAAGAAGGUACACCUACUGAAGGGUGACGGUAAGUUUUGCACCUACUAAUGGGUGCUAGAAAGGUUUGGGUCAGGCUCGGGACGUUAAAAAGCGGUACCUGGGAGGCCACCCAGUUUUCUAUACUUAUCUUUUUAAAUUAUGUUAUAUUUGCUUCUGUUUUUAGAAUAGGUAUUGAUGUACUUGGUUGGACACUAUAUCUGAUGCAGUGGUUUGAUAUUAAUUUUGCAUGAUGGGUAUUGCUUGAUGAUGCUUUGAUAUUGAUGAAGUUGAGAUUGCACAAUAUGCUGAUAUACAGGUGGUGGUUCA
rnacentral:lncRNA from 1 species